CCCAGAGGAGGUGCGAAGCACUUAACCUUUGCUCAUUAGGUCUCUAAUUGCCGUUGUGUUAAUUGCAUGCCAGUCUCGUAAAUUAGCCGCCCUUCCUAAGUGAGAGACCUAGGAAGGGCGGCUGAUUCGUGAGACUAACCAACAAGCUGAAAGACAUCAUGCAAGACAGCCUGGAGCAAAGAGCUUGCCAUCAAUAGAAUCAUGUCAGGGAACACUCCAAAACAACCAGCUAUAAGAAGCCAUCAUCUAUGAGAAGUUAUAUCCAGGACCAUGCAUGUACCACAGCAGAAGAGCCUGAGGCCUCCUUUUACAAUGUAUAUACGUAUAAAGUGGACCGUACAUGCAUGCUACAUGCAACAAAGGCCAGCUAUUGAGAAGCCUGGCCAAAAUCUCAUCCGCCCUGUGUUCGACUGUGGGAAGGAGCAGCUCAAUACUUGACUGAAAGUGGUCGCAAAGCAGCUAGGCUAAACGCACAAUUAAUGUGCAUGUGACGCUCAUUCAACUCUAAAAUGAUCUUGUUGUUGCCAAACCAGUUCAAGAUACGACAAGAAAUGAAGAUUUUGAUGAGCUCGAGCAUUCUUCCUCAUUAGUAUUCACACCUGCAAGCCUCGAUUGUCAGUAAUGAUUUCAGAAGAACCAGAUGUGCAUGCUUCUCGAGAUUACGAGAACGCAACGGAAAGAUGGAAUUAUUCUACUUGCUUAUAACUAUAGGAUGUUGAGGUCAGUACUCAGUCUGUACAUAGGAGGUCAGAGCCAAGUGGUAUGACCUGCAUGAGAUUGAGCUGCUGGAGUCCAGUUGGCAUGCACUAUACCUUGUGAUUUGUGGACAGCCUCAUCAGGGGACCGGACCCACAGGAACACAUUAUGCCUUUCCUGCAUGUAGCCUUGCACUGUAGGGUGUCGUUAAGUGGAGACUUGGCUUGAUACAAUAUUAAAAGCCAAAAGGGCGUAAGAACUCAGUCAUCUUUGCACAAUUCUUCUAUGUAACGGAUUACAACUUCAGAAUACAAAAUAGUAUACUGUUUAAAUUA